CUGAAAUUAUGGAGGAGCUAGAGACCAAUACACUAUGUACUUUGCCUCUGAAGGCAUGUCUGAAGAUUCCAUUGCAGGAGCCAUGGCUUGUUUGAAGUGUCAACUAGUUCCACUUGAGCAGUACCAGGGAUCGAACUCGGGACCUUGUGCUUGCGAGGCAGGCGCUGGAACCACUGAGCUAAAUCCCCGGCCCUCUCAGCCCAAUAUUUAUCAAGAAGAAAAGAAAAUGAAAUCCUCAGUAUUUUUUUCCCCCCUAGUACUGGGGAUUGAACUCAGGACCUUGUGCUCAUGAGGCAGGCGUGGCACCACUGAGCUAAAUACCUG
rnacentral:lncRNA from 1 species